GAUGAACGCUGGCGGCGUGCUUAACACAUGCAAGUCGAACGGAAAGGCCCCAGCUUGCUGGGGUACUCGUGUGGCGAACGGGUGAGUAACACGUGGGUGAUCUGCCCUGCACUUUGGGAUAAGCUUGGGAAACUGGGUCUAAUACCGAAUAUGACCACUUCUUGGAUGUUGUGGUGGAAAGCUUUUGCGGUGUGGGAUGAGCCUGCGGCCUAUCAGCUUGUUGGUGGGGUAAUGGCCUACCAAGGCGGCGACGGGUAUCCGGCCUGAGAGGGUGUACAGACACAUUGGGACUGAGAUACGGCCCAGACUCCUACGGGAGGCAGCAGUGGGGAAUAUUGCACAAUGGGCGCAAGCCUGAUGCAGCGACGCCGCGUGGGGGAUGAAGGCCUUCGGGUUGUAAACUCCUUCCGCUAUCGACGAAGCCACUUGUGGUGACGGUAGGUAGAUAAGAAGCACCGGCUAACUACGUGCCAGCAGCCGCAGUAACAC
rnacentral:rRNA from 1 species